rnacentral:lncRNA from 1 species
GCGGACACAACAUCUUUGUUUGUAUGUAGUGCUGAGGAUCGAACACGGGCCGCACGCAUGCCAGGAGAGUGCGCUACCGCUUGAGCCACAUCCCCAGCCCUUCAUAUUUUAUUUGAUUGGAAUUGGCAAUUAAGUUUCUAGUGAUCAAUGUCUUCUCUUGAUUUUUUUCCUACUUCAUGUUGCUAAAGGUAGGUCAGUUUUGUUGAUCUUUUCAAAGUCCUAAAUUUUGGUUUCAUUAGCUUUAUCUUGCUUUUCUAGUCUCUACUUAUCUUUGUUCUCAUCACUACUUCCAUCUUUUUGUUAGAUUUUGAUUUAGUUUGUUCUUCUACUUCUAGGGCCUCAUGUUGUAAUGUUAGGUUGUUGAUUCGAGAUCUUUUUUUUUUUUUAAAUUUUCAUUUUAUAGAAUUUCCCCCUUAGAACUGCUCUCAUGAUUCCAUAAUUGUGGCAUUUUGUGUUUUCAUUUUCUUUCAUCCCUGAAUAUUUUGUAAUUUUCCUUCUGAUUUCUUCCUUUAUCCAUUCAUAAAGUAUGUUGGUCAAUUUUGACAAAUUUGUGAAUUGUCUAGUUGUGAUUUAUGUUAUGAACUCCUCACUUAAGCCUAUUAUUUGGGAAGAUACUAUAGUGCCCCUUUAUCCAUGAGGGCACAUUCUAAGAGCAUCAGUGAUGCCAAACUGGAUUGUACAAAACUCUAAAUGUGUUAUAUUUCCCUAUAUGUACAUGCUUAUGAUUACACUUAAUUUAUAAAUUAGGCACAAUGAAAGACUAACAGCAAAAUUAAUAAUGAAAUAGAACACUAUAUUUGAACAAUUUAUGUGAAUGUGAUCUCUCUCACUCUCAAAAUAUCUUGUAUGCAGCUUUGGAGAAAGGGAUGAUUCAUUCACAUGCUGGUAGAAUGAAUUGGAAUGAUUCAAAAAUUUGUAAUUCUAGUCAGAAUGGCUCUCUAUUUAAAAUUCACAAAAAGUUUUUAAAAUAUCCAUUAAAUAUUUUAGACUUCUCACUAAAGGAUGUGGAGUAUCUCUGUUAUUUAGUUCUUUGCUAUUAUUAAUUAAAUUGUAUAGUUUCC